UACGUAGGGGGCUAGCGUUGUCCGGAAUCAUUGGGCGUAAAGAGCGUGUAGGCGGGUCUUUAAGUCAGGGGUGAAAUCCUGGAGCUCAACUCCAGAACUGCCUUUGAUACUGAAGAUCUUGAGUCCGGGAGAGGUGAGUGGAACUGCGAGUGUAGAGGUGAAAUUCGUAGAUAUUCGCAAGAACACCAGUGGCGAAGGCGGCUCACUGGCCCGGUACUGACGCUGAGGCACGAAAGCGUGGGGAGCAAACAGG
rnacentral:rRNA from 1 species